rnacentral:rRNA from 1 species
GAUGAACGCUGGCGGCGUGCCUAAUACAUGCAAGUCGAGCGAACAGACGAGGAGCUUGCUCCUCUGACGUUAGCGGCGGACGGGUGAGUAACACGUGGAUAACCUACCUAUAAGCCUGGGAUAACUUCGGGAAACCGGAGCUAAUACCGGAUAAUAUAUUGAACCGCAUGGUUCAAUAGUGAAAGACGGUUUUGCUGUCACUUCUAGAUGGAUCCGCGCCGCAUUAGCUAGUUGGUAAGGUAACGGAUUACCAAGGCAACGAUGCGUAGCCGACCUGAGAGGGUGAUCGGCAACACUGGAACAGAGACACGGACCAGACUCCUACGGGAGGCAGCGGUAGGGAAUCUUCCGCAAUGGGCGAAAGCCUGACGGAGCAACGCCGCGUGAGUGAUGAAGGUCUUCGGAUCGUAAAACUCUGUUAUUAGGGAAGAACAAAUGUGAAAGUAACUAUGCACGUCUUGACGGUACCUAAUCAGAAAGCCACGGCUAACUACGUG